rnacentral:rRNA from 1 species
UUCGACACACUAUCAUUAACUGAAUCCAUAGGUUAAUGAGGCGAACCGGGGGAACUGAAACAUCUAAGUACCCCGAGGAAAAGAAAUCAACCGAGAUUCCCCCAGUAGCGGCGAGCGAACGGGGAGCAGCCCAGAGCCUGAAUCAGUAUGUGUGUUAGUGGAAGCGUCUGGAAAGGCGCGCGAUACAGGGUGACAGCCCCGUACACAAAAAUGCACAUGCUGUGAGCUCGAUGAGUAGGGCGGGACACGUGGUAUCCUGUCUGAAUAUGGGGGGACCAUCCUCCAAGGCUAAAUACUCCUGACUGACCGAUAGUGAACCAGUACCGUGAGGGAAAGGCGAAAAGAACCCCGGCGAGGGGAGUGAAAAAGAACCUGAAACCGUGUACGUACAAGCAGUGGGAGCACGCUUAGGCGUGUGACUGCGUACCUUUUGUAUAAUGGGUCAGCGACUUAUAUUCUGUAGCAAGGUUAACCGAAUAGGGGAGCCGAAGGGAAACCGAGUCUUAACUGGGCGUUAAGUUGCAGGGUAUAGACCCGAAACCCGGUGAUCUAGCCAUGGGCAGGUUGAAGGUUGGGUAACACUAACUGGAGGACCGAACCGACUAAUGUUGAAAAAUUAGCGGAUGACUUGUGGCUGGGGGUGAAAGGCCAAUCAAACCGGGAGAUAGCUGGUUCUCCCCGAAAGCUAUUUAGGUAGCGCCUCGUGAAUUCAUCUCCGGGGGUAGAGCACUGUUUCGGCAAGGGGGUCAUCCCGACUUACCAACCCGAUGCAAACUGCGAAUACCGGAGAAUGUUAUCACGGGAGACACACGGCGGGUGCUAACGUCCGUCGUGAAGAGGGAAACAACCCAGACCGCCAGCUAAGGUCCCAAAGUCAUGGUUAAGUGGGAAACGAUGUGGGAAGGCCCAGACAGCCAGGAUGUUGGCUUAGAAGCAGCCAUCAUUUAAAGAAAGCGUAAUAGCUCACUGGUCGAGUCGGCCUGCGCGGAAGAU